rnacentral:rRNA from 27 species
GAAUGCUGACAUAAGUAACGAUAAAGCGGGUGAAAAGCCCGCUCGCCGGAAGACCAAGGGUUCCUGUCCAACGUUAAUCGGGGCAGGGUGAGUCGACCCCUAAGGCGAGGCCGAAAGGCGUAGUCGAUGGGAAACGGGUUAAUAUUCCCGUACUUGGUGUUACUGCGAAGGGGGGACGGAGAAGGCUAUGUUGGCCGGGCGACGGUU